rnacentral:rRNA from 1 species
UUGUGGUUUAAUUCGAUGAUGCGCGAGGAACCUUACCCGGGCUUUGAAAUGCAUCUGACGUAGGCAGAGACGUCUAUUCCCUUCGGGGCAGAUGUGUAGGUGCUGCAUGGUUGUCGUCAGCUCGUGCCGUGAGGUGUCGGCUUAAGUGCCAUAACGAGCGCAACCCUCAUCAUUAGUUACCAACAGGUUAAGCUGGGGACUCUAGUGAGACUGCCAUCGUAAGAUGCGAGGAAGGUGGGGAUGACGUCAAAUCAGCACGGCCCUUACGUCCGGGGCGACACACGUGUUACAAUGGGUGGUACAAAGGGCAGCUACCUGGCGACAGGAUGCUAAUCUCCAAAACCACUCUCAGUUCGGAUCGGAGUCUGCAACUCGACUCCGUGAAGCUGGAUUCGCUAGUAAUCGCGCAUCAGCCAUGGCGCGGUGAAUACGUUCCCGGGCCUU